rnacentral:rRNA from 1 species
GGCUCAGGAUGAACGCUAGCGGGAGGCCUAAUACAUGCAAGUCGAACGGUAAAUGGUAGCAAUACUAUGAGAGUGGCGUACGGGUGCGUAACGCGUACACAACCUGCCUUAUACUGGAGCAUAGCCUUGGGAAACUAAGAUUAACUCUCCAUAACAUUGCAGUGUGGCAUCACACAGCAAUUAAAACUCCGGUGGUAUAAGAUGGGUGUGCGUCUGAUUAGGUAGUUGGUGAGGUAACGGCUCACCAAGCCGACGAUCAGUAGCUGGUCUGAGAGGACGAUCAGCCACACGGGCACUGAGACACGGGCCCGACUCCUACGGGAGGCAGCAGUAGGGAAUAUUGGACAAUGGACGCAAGUCUGAUCCAGCCAUCCCGCGUGAAGGAUUAAGGCCCUCUGGGUUGUAAACUUCUUUUCUCUGGGAAUAAAAAGCGGUAUUCUUAUCGCCUUGAAGGUACCAGAGGAAUAAGCACCGGCUAACUCCGUGCCAGCAGCCGCGGUAAUACGGAGGGUGCAAGCGUUAUCCGGAUUCACUGGGUUUAAAGGGUGCGUAGGUGGUCUGUUAAGUCAGCGGUGAAAGCCUGGAGCUCAACUCCAGAAUUGCCAUUGAUACUGACGGACUUGAAUCAAGUUGAGGUGGAUGGAAUAUUACAUGUAGCGGUGAAAUGCUUAGAUAUGUAAUAGAACACCGAUUGCGAAGGCAGUUCACUAAGCUUGCAUUGACACUGAGGCACGAAAGCGUGGGGAUCAAACAGGAUUAGAUACCCUGGUAGUCCACGCCCUAAACGAUGCAAACUCGACAUUAGCGAUAUACAGUUAGUGUCCAAGCGAAAGCGUUAAGUUUGCCACCUGGGAAGUACGACCGCAAGGUUGAAACUUAAAU